CGGAUCAGGUAGGGAUACCCGCUGAACUUAAGCAUAUCAAUAAGCGGAGGAAAAGAAACCAACAGGGAUUGCCUUAGUUAACGGCGAGUGACGC
rnacentral:rRNA from 1 species